rnacentral:rRNA from 1 species
AUUGAACGCUGGCGGCAUGCUUUACACAUGCAAGUCGAACGGCAGCGCGGGGCAACCUGGCGGCGAGUGGCGAACGGGUGAGUAAUACAUCGGAACGUACCCAGAAGUGGGGGAUAACGUAGCGAAAGUUACGCUAAUACCGCAUACGUUCUACGGAAGAAAGUGGGGGACCUUCGGGCCUCAUGCUUUUGGAGCGGCCGAUGUCUGAUUAGCUAGUUGGUAGGGUAAAGGCCUACCAAGGCGACGAUCAGUAGCUGGUCUGAGAGGACGACCAGCCACACUGGAACUGAGACACGGUCCAGACUCCUACGGGAGGCAGCAGUGGGGAAUUUUGGACAAUGGGCGCAAGCCUGAUCCAGCAAUGCCGCGUGGGUGAAGAAGGCCUUCGGGUUGUAAAGCUCUUUUGUCAGGGAAGAAACGGUUCUGGAUAAUACCCGGAGCUAAUGACGGUACCUGAAGAAUAAGCACCGGCUAACUACGUGCCAGCAGCCGCGGUAAUUCGUAGGGUGCAAGCGUUGAUCGGAAUUACUGGGCGUAAAGCGUGCGCAGGCGGUUUUGUAAGUCUGUCGUGAAAGCCCCGGGCUUAACCUGGGAAUUGCGAUGGAGACUGCAAGGCUUGAAUCUGGCAGAGGGGGGUAGAAUUCCACGUGUAGCAGUGAAAUGCGUAGAGAUGUGGAGGAAUACCGAUGGCGAAGGCAGCCCCCUGGGCCAAUACUGACGCUCAUGCACGAAAGCGUGGGGAGCAAACAGGAUUAGAUACCCUGGUAGUCCUCGCCCUAAACGAUGUCAACUAGUUGUUGGGGAUUCAUUUCCUUAG